rnacentral:rRNA from 1 species
GACGAACGCUGGCGGCGUGCUUAACACAUGCAAGUCGAGCGGUAAGGCCCUUUCGGGGGUACACGAGCGGCGAACGGGUGAGUAACACGUGGGUUACCUGCCUUUAGCUCUGGGAUAAGCCUGGGAAACUGGGUCUAAUACCGGAUAUGACUCCGCGGUGCAUGCUGUGGGGUGGAAAGCCUUGUGCGGCUGGAGAUGGGCCCGCGGCCUAUCAGCUUGUUGGUGGGGUGANGGCCUACCAAGGCGACGACGGGUAGCCGGCCUGAGAGGGCGACCGGCCACACUGGGACUGAGACACGGCCCAGACUCCUACGGGAGGCAGCAGUGGGGAAUCUUGCGCAAUGGGGGAAACCCUGAAGGAGCGACGCCGCGUGGAGGAUGAAGGCUUUCGGGUUGUAAACUCCUGUCAUUUGAGAACAAGUGCCAACAAGUAACUACUGUUGGCUUGAUAGUAUCAGAAGAGGAAGGGACGGCUAACUCUGUGCCAGCCGCGCUGU